rnacentral:hammerhead_ribozyme from 1 species
GCACUGCUGAGGACUCCCACAAUAGGACGAAAUGGCCGUCCAGUGC